GCCUUCGUGGUGUAAUGGUCAGCACACUCGGCGCGUAUUCGAGAGGUCCGUGGUUCGAAUCCCGGCGAGGGAA
rnacentral:tRNA from 1 species